rnacentral:rRNA from 1 species
UACAGAGGGGGCAAGCGUUAUUCGGAAUUAUUGGGCGUAAAGGGCGCGUAGGCGGCCUUUCAAGUGACGGGUGAAAGCCCUCGGCUUAACCGAGGAACUGCCUGUCAGACUGGAAGGCUUGAGACCGGGAGAGGUGAGUGGAAUUCCCAGUGUAGCGGUGAAAUGCGUAGAUAUUCGGAGGAACACCAGUGGCGAAGGCGGCUCACUGGUCCGGUACUGACGCUGAGGUGCGAAAGCGUGGGGAGCAAACAGG